rnacentral:rRNA from 1 species
UACAGAGACUGCAAGCGUUAUUCGGAUUCACUGGGCGUAAAGGGUGCGCAGGCGGCCGAGUGUGUUAGGCGUGAAAGCCUGAGGCUCAACCUCAGAAUUGCACCUAAACUACACGGCUAGAGCAUUGGAGAGGGUAGCGGAAUUCACGGUGUAGCAGUGAAAUGCGUAGAUAUCGUGAGGAACACCAGAGGCGAAGGCGGCUACCUGGACAAUUGCUGACGCUCAGGCACGAAAGCGUGGGGAGCAAAAGGG